AAACUAGAUCGCCUGAAAAACAUGUUACAUUUGUAUUUUGUGAAUGGAACAUAAUGAUUUUAACUUUGAAUUCUAUCUGUAAUGUUAUGGGUAGGUAUUCUAAAAUCAUCUUAAAACCAUUCAGAAGUUUUUUCAAACUAUUGUUAAAAACAGUAUAUAUAGUCAUAGUUGCUUUUGAGUAUGAAGUAAAAACCCAGUAAAUUUAAAGAAAUGAUUUGAAAUUAAAAUAAAUGAAUAUAGACAAACUUAUGAUUUUUAAUUAGGAAAGCUUCAAAACUAUACACCAGUAAUUUACAAACCCUUUGUUCAAUCCUAGAAAAACAACUCAGCCUUGUUCGGCAAUAUUCACUUUCGAUUAAUACAAGUUAUUGAUGAAACAGCUUAUUGUUAACAUUGUUAUUGGGUAAGGCCUUUAACUUGCCUGCCGCCAUAUUGCGGAAGUAAAUCUAGCUUCAUUUUAAGCCAUUGUCGAUACAACAGGAUUACAACUAACUGCUUCAAAUCAUGCGUCAAACGCGACGAAUAUCCGGGGAUAAAUUCAAGUAUAACUGUGUUUUUCAUAGUAGAAACAUUAGGCUUUCAGGAUUUUAGGUUUCUACUGGGUGCAUGGCUGCCUGUUAGGUAGGUUCAUGAGCUAGGAGGUGCCAAUUUAAAGAAAUGAUGGCUGGAUACAUGAAUUGGUUGGUUAUCUUUCGAUAUAGGAAAAGUUAGUUACGUUGUUAAUUUGUCAAUAUUUUAGCAUUUCAAGGACACACAGCAACAGGAUUACGACGAGAAAAGCGUAUUGCUAUAUUCGUACCCUUUGGAACACCCUACUGAAAAACGUAACAUACUGAAUCGAAUAGGUGACAGCAUUGAACGAAUAGUCCUUGUCUUGAAUAGAUUUUAUUCUCAAAUAUUUUCUCAGUGCUUGCAAUUUAAUUAUAUGUUUUUUGUCGAAAAUUUUUAACAUCUUUGCCUGCAGUUUUGUAAAAAAAUAAACGUUCGCACUUAAAAAUUUUGCGAAAAGGCACCCCAAAAAUUAGGAACAAAGCGGAAGACGUUAAAGUAAGAAAGGUUGCACUGAAAUUUUCACAAAAAUUUUUCUAAGUGUGAAAUGUAGAGAGCUUUUGCAGAACAUUAUAGACUUCAAUACUUUAGAUGCUAUAUUUUCUCUCAGAGUGUACGCAUUCCUUUUUCUGCUAAGUGUUAUAAACAAUUUUUAGAAGAUAUCAGACCUUACGGUCUAAAAACACCUUGAAACUCUAGAUUUAAAUCUGGCUCUUUCAUCUAUUUUCCCUAACGUCCUUGGGUUGGCUAAAAGUCAAAUACGAAGAAAACUUAAACAAAUUUCUUUUGCACAAUUUACAUUCUCUUUUGUAGGAAAACCGUUGAAUUUCCGAUUUGGAAGGAACAUCAACUCGUCCCCAUGUAGUUACUUUUAAAUGAGUAUUGUCACAAUUACACUUCCCAACAAUCGGUAACCAAACAUUGUGAUACAUUGCUUCUAGAAAAGGUCAGCUAUCUUAAUGGGUUUUGAUGUGUGACGCCACCCCCUCUCAAACACCACUAUUGCGUGAAAUCCUUCUCUUUGCCUUUAGUCACAUUGCAAACCACAACAAAAAGUUACAUUUCUGAGAACAAGAAUUAAUUUGGAAAUCAUUAUUGGCAAUGUCGAAGACACUCCUGAAAUUGCUUCAAAGUAAUCUAAAUCGACGUUUUGUAAAGCAAUAACUUGUCAUUCUAUUUUGCUAGGUCAAAGGUGGAAAAUUCGGGUGACUAAUAUGAAUUGCUAUAGGUGACCUCUUGGUACGAAACAUGAUCUUGCGAUGAGUAUAGUGUUGCCUCUGACAAACAGGGAAUGGAAGCAAUGCCGGUGAUAGGAUGAAAAAGCGAGGCAGGAAAUUUCAUCCUUGUCUUGAAACUCUUCAAUCGUAUCUCUCUCUCUCUCUCCUUGCAUAGAACAAAGUGAAAGAAAUGCGGGGAAGGACAAGGCUCGUACGCCAUGAGCAAGCAACGACAUCGAUAGUGAACGUGUGAUGGCGGGGACUGGCAACUGCGUCAAUUCCCAAGGGACAAUUAGAAAAAUUCCCUGCACUCGAGAAAGAGAGCAAGUCACGGAGACAUUUAAUGCCUUUGAGCCGGCAGUAACAAGGAGCAUUUACUGCUUUUCAAGGUGACGAGGGAAUAGGAAGCUUACGUUUACUGUAUUUUUAUCAGAUUUCUAGCCUUGUAAAAAAAGCAGACAUAAUUUUGUCCAGAUUUUCAAGACGUAACUUCAUCGAUUGUCUUAGUCAACAUGUGAUGGAGAAUUGCUUUAUGUUAGAAAUUGACGAUUCUUGGCAUAAAAGAUCAAUCAAAGCUGUAAUUCUACUCGAAUGAAAAUAAUGAUCUGAUUGUCUUCUUUAUUCUGCUGAAUUUAGACAUGAUAGUA